rnacentral:ncRNA from 2 species
AAAACAGUUAAAGCGCCAGUACUGGGGAAAUCGGAUGGACAAAUCACUUCCCAGUAGACGAGGAGGAGGAGUAUCGAGAUUUCGGCGGAUACCUCCCGGCCGCGAAGCCCGGUCGUAAUAUCCAGCAUUUAAAGCAGUUGAGCGAUCGGCUGUACAACGAUGCGGAUGGGCUCACGA